rnacentral:rRNA from 1 species
GUGGUAAUGCCGGAUGCUCCGACUCCUCGCAUGGGGUGUCGGGAAAGAUUAUAUCGGUAUGGGAUGGGGUCGCGUCCUAUCAGGUAGUCGGCGGGGUAACGGCCCACCGAGCCUACGACGGGUAGCCGGCCUGAGAGGGCGACCGGCCACAUUGGGACUGAGAUACGGCCCAGACUCCUACGGGAGGCAGCAGUGGGGAAUAUUGCACAAUGGGCGCAAGCCUGAUGCAGCGACGCCGCGUGCGGGAUGACGGCCUUCGGGUUGUAAACCGCUUUUGAUCGGGAGCAAGCCUUCGGGUGAGUGUACCUUUCGAAUAAGCACCGGCUAACUACGUGCCAGCAGCCGCGGUAAUACGUAGGGUGCAAGCGUUAUCCGGAAUUAUUGGGCGUAAAGGGCUCGUAGGCGGUUCGUCGCGUCCGGUGUGAAAGUCCAUCGCUUAACGGUGGAUCUGCGCCGGGUACGGGCGGGCUGGAGUGCGGUAGGGGAGACUGGAAUUCCCGGUGUAACGGUGGAAUGUGUAGAUA